rnacentral:rRNA from 1 species
GUCCUACGGGGGGCAGCAGUGAGGAAUAUUGGUCAAUGGUCGGGAGACUGAACCAGCCAAGCCGCGUGAGGGAGGAAGGUACAGAGUAUCGUAAACCUCUUUUGUCAGGGAACAAAGGCGGGACGUGUCCCCGGAUGAGUGUACCUGAAGAAAAAGCAUCGGCUAACUCCGUGCCAGCAGCCGCGGUAAUACGGAGGAUGCGAGCGUUAUCCGGAUUUAUUGGGUUUAAAGGGUGCGUAGGCGGGAUGCCAAGUCAGCGGUAAAAAUGCGGUGCUCAACGCCGUCGAGCCGUUGAAACUGGCGGU